CCCUUAGAUGUUCUGGGCCGCACGCGCGCUACACUGAUGAACGCAACGAGACCACCUGUACCGAAAGGCAUGGGUAAACUUGUGAAAGUUCAUCGUGAUGGGGAUAGAUUAUUGCAAUUAUUAAUCUUCAACGAGGAAUUCCUAGUAAGCGCGAGUCAUCAGCUCGCGUUGAUUACGUCCCUGCCCUUUGUACACACCGCCCGUCGCUCCUACCGAUUGAAUGGUCCGGUGAAAUCUUCGGAUUGCUGGAUAGGACUUCAUUGACCUAUCUGCGAGAAGUUGCUUGAACCUUAUCAUUUAGAGGAAGGUGAAGUCGUANCA
rnacentral:rRNA from 1 species